GCAAGAGAUAGAAGUGUCCCUAAUUUAACCGAAGGUUCUUUGCAUGAGCCAGGGAGGCAAAGUGUCACACUGAGACAGAAUAACCUGCCAGCUCAGAGUGGAUCUCAUGCUGCUGAGAAAGGCAACAGCGACUGGCCAGAGAGGCCUGGACUGACACAGACUGGCCCUGGACACAGACGGAUGCUGCGGAGACACACGGUAGAGGAUGCGGUCGUGUCCCAGGGCCCGGAGGCUGCUGGCCCCCUCUCCACUCCCCAAGAGGUUAGUGCUUCCCGGUCCUAACAGGAAUGAGGAGUUGUUGAACCCACUGCUAGGAAGCAAGGAUGCAACAAGAUGAUGCUGAGCGUGAACACAUCUGAGAACUAAAUGUGCUUCCAUGAGACUGGCUUGAGAAGUCUUCAGCACCAAGUUCCUGAAAGCUUUUCUGUGGCAGGAAAGAAUGCAACAAAAAAGUUAACCACCACCAUCUCUCUCCUCUUCAAAGCUAAUGAAUACAAUUGAAACAGACAAAAAUUCCAGUAGCAUCCAGAUCCUUAAGCCAGAGGUGCAUGCUUCUUUUUAAGUAUGAGGGUUUGUUGGUCACAGUGGGAGAGGUUUCACCACCGCAUUCUGACCUCCUCCUCCCAAAAGGUGCUAAACCUCUCUGACCUGUGUACAUUCACAAACCACAGCUAGAAUUCCUCCACCUAGGAUUAAGCUGGAGAGAAGUAAGUAAUUUAGGUUUCAUGGUACUGUAGAGGCCAGGCUGAAAUGUCAUAUCUGAAGGAAGAAAGCAGCAGCUGGACAAUGUUUCUUUGCAAAGCAACACUCGAACCAAAAGAUGCCUCAAUCCCAUUUUGAUAUUCAUUUUAGUGAAAGGAUGCAUCAGACCUGUUCCACAUCAUGCACAUGGGAAAGGGUGGUUAUCAUUUUCCUUCUAACAAGUAGGUACAGAUAUUCGGUUACUACACGUGCACCUGUAGCAGUAUUUCUAGAAACAUCCCUUUUUGUUGAGAACCUCCCUUGAAUGUCUGUCACACUCACACCUGACGGGAUGGUUACUGGAUUAGAGAGUAGAUUUGGCACAUCUUUUCUUAGUCUUUUGAUUCAAAUUCAAAACUUAACAGCACAAACCAGGUCAGAGUUACUUUCGGUUAGAAUUUAUUGCCAUUUAUUCCUUUUUAUAAAUUUCUAUAGAUUAUACUGUUAUUUUUAUGUUAUUGGCCUAGAGCUACACGUAUAUGGGUUUGUCCUGAGUCCGUUUUCAAAUGACCUUGUGAUAGGGAAAUGGUUUUGUCCAUGUUCUUGGAAAUACUUGUGUAUGUACAGAAGGAAGGGAGGGAUUAUUUUUCUACAAAGUAAUUUAUGAUUUCUAAUUUUCUAAUGUGCCUUGGAUAUGUGCCAAAUGAUGGAAAAGAAACAGUAAACUUUAUGAUUCUUGA
rnacentral:lncRNA from 1 species